UUGGCGAGGAGACAUGUCUUGCUUGAGCCACUGAAAUAUUACCAUCAAACCGCCAGAAGCCAGGAGAAAGGCAUGUGGCACAGAUUCUUCCUCACUGCCUUCAGAAGAAACCAACCCUACAGAUACUUGGAUAUCAGACUUCCAGCCUCCAGAACUUUUACCAGAUGUCUACACCAUCCUUUCCAUGGGAGCCAGAGAAGUUUUUAAGAUCUACAUCACAUCAAUCCUUCCCUGCUGAAACCCUUCGAUGACCACUCAAGUCCUCUGGCCAAAACUCCAGCCAGCGAGUGAACCAUGACAAUUCCUUUAGCCAUAACCAGUUUGGCUCAGUGGAUAGAGCGUCU